AGCCUCUCUCUCUUUAAUUACUGAAGGCAUCUUAUUGACAUUCUGUAAAUACUUUUCCAAAAGAAGCUCACCAAGAGUUCACUCUUAUGCAGAACGUAGAUAAAUAUAUUUCUAGAUUCAAAUGUAUUUCUAGAUUCAAAUCCCCGGAGUCUGCCAACCAGCUGGCUCAAGGUUUCUAGGAGUUGUAGCCCAAAACAUACUGUUUUUUUAGGAUCAAAGAAUAAUAAAAUUCUGAGUUGGAAUGGGUCACAAGAGUAAUCUAGUCUAGCUCCUUGCCAUGCAGAAAUAGGCAACCAAAUCACCCCCGAAAGAUGACCAACCUCUGUUUUAAAGACCCUUGAAGAAGCAGAGUCCACACACUCCCCAAGUGUGAUAUUUUAAAGAUACUGUAUAUACUUGAGUAUAAGCCUAGUUUUUCAGCCCUUUUUUAGGACUGAAAAAAAAACUUCCUCGGCUUAUACUCAGGUGACGGUCCUGGUGGGUUUAUAUUCAGGUUGGCUUAUACUCAGGUCUUGGACUACAAUCCUAUUUUGGGCUCCUUCUUAAUUGGCUCCUGCAUCAUUUUCAUGACCUUUGUGGUGUUGAAUCUCUUUAUUUCAGUUAUCCUUGUCGCUUUCAGUGAGGAGCAGAAACAUUAUCAGGUUUGUUCACAUCUGUAUUUUGUGAAUCCUAGCCUUUGGGAU
rnacentral:lncRNA from 11 species